UUUCUUGUGUGACCGCGUACUUUUUGUAGAACGGGCCAACGAGUUACGUUAAGUAGCAAGGUUAAGCACUUAAGGUGUGGAGCCGUAGCGAAAGCGAGUUUUAACUGAGCGUUCAGUUACUUGACGUAGACCCGAAACCGGGCGACCUACCCAUGAGCAGGAUGAAGCGAAAGUAAAAUUUCGUGGAGGUCCGAACCCACGAGCGUUGAAAAGCUCGGGGAUGACUUGUGGGUAGCGGUGAAAUUCCAAUCGAGCCCGGAGAUAGCUGGUUCUCCCCGAAAUAGCUUUAGGGCUAGCCUCAAGGUGAGAGAUACGGAGGUAGAGCACUGAAUGUCCUAGGGGGUAUUGCACCUACCGAAGACUAUCAAACUCCGAAUGCCGUCAUCUUAUACUUGGGAGUCAGACUGUGGGUGAUAAGAUUCAUAGUCGAAAGGGCAACAGCCCAGAUCGUCAGCUAAGGUCCCUAAAUGUAAGUUAAGUGGUAAAGGAUGUGGGAUUGCACAGACAACCAGGAUGUUGGCUUAGAAGCAGCCACUCAUUCAAAGAGUGCGUAAUAGCUCACUGGUCGAGUGAUCCUGCGCCGAAGAUUUCCGGGGCUAAAACUUACUACCGAAGCUACGGCAUCAGUAAUGAUGGGUAGGGGAGCUUCCCAUACGGGUUGAAGCAUGACCGUAAGGACAUGUGGACAGUAUGGGAGUGAGAAUGUUGGCAUGAGUAGCGAGAUGUGGGUGAGAAUCCCACAGGCCGUAAACCCAAGGUUUCCAGGGGAAGGUUCGUCCGCCCUGGGUUAGUCGGGACCUAAGCUGAGGCCGAAAGGCGUAGGUGAUGGACAACAGGUUGAUAUUCCUGUACUACCGAUAACCGUUUGAGAGAAGGGAUGACACAGUAGGAUAAGCUAAGCACACUGUUGGUUAUGUGUGCCCAAGCAUUGAGGCAGUCAAAGUAGGCAAAUCCGCUUUGAUAAUGCUGGGAUGUGAUGGGGAGCGAAAUUUAGUAGCGAAGUAGCUGAUUUCACACUGUCAAGAAAAGUCUCUAUCGAGGUUAAAGGUACCCGUACCGCAAACCGACACAGGUGGGUGAGGAGAGUAUCCUAAGGCCAGCGAGAGAACUGUUGUUAAGGAACUCGGCAAAAUGACCCCGUAACUUAGGGAUAAGGGGUGCCACCAUCAGGUGGCCGCAGAGAAUAGGCCCAAGCGACUGUUUACCAAAAACAUAGGUUUCUGCUAAGUCGCAAGACGAUGUAUAGGAGCUGACGCCUGCCCGGUGCUGGAAGGUUAAGGGGAUCUGUUAGAGCAAUCGAAGCAGUGAACUUAAGCCCCAGUAAACGGCGGCCGUAACUAUAACGGUCCUAAGGUAGCGAAAUUCCUUGUCGGGUAAGUUCCGACCCGCACGAAAGGCGUAACGAUUUGGGCACUGUCUCAACAACAGACUCGGUGAAAUUGUAAUUCCGGUGAAGAUGCCGGAUACCUGCGACAGGACGGAAAGACCCCAUGGAGCUUUACUGUAGCUUGACAUUGGGUCUUGGUACUACAUGUACAGGAUAGGUGGGAGGCUUUGAAACCAGGACGCCAGUUUUGGCGGAGCCAUCCUUGGGAUACCACCCUUGUAGUACUGGGACUCUAACCAUAGGCCAUGAAUCUGGUCUUGGGACACUGUCAGGUGGGCAGUUUGACUGGGGCGGUCGCCUCCCAAAAGGUAACGGAGGCGCUCAAAGGUUCUCUCAGUACGGUCGGAAAUCGUACGUAGAGUGUAAAGGCAAAAGAGAGCUUGAUUGCAAGACAUACAGGUCGAGCAAGGAUGAA
rnacentral:rRNA from 1 species